AAAAAAAAACCAAAUAUCCUAACAAACUAGAAGGGGGGGGACGGCCAAGGUUGUUAGAGGGAAUUUAGGGGAGUUUGUUACUUGCUUAGUGGAAAAGUAAUUAAUUUGAAUAAAAAUUAAUUAAAAUUUUAUUUUUGCCCUUGGGCUUGGGCUAAAAUUAAGGGUUUUAUCGUAUUUUUACCUCCACAUCCUCCACUAUAAAUAGGAGUCUCUAGUGAAGGGAAAAUCACAACUCAGAGCUCUCCAAAUUUUUGUUCGCGCACGGAAAGGUUAGAUCGAACGUACUCGAUCUCGCGUGGAAAGCGUAGCCAAGAUGGUGAUCCGGAAGGAGCUAGUGGAUCAGGACUGGGAGAUUUAUCUCCAUAGUUUUGAUGAGGACACGGCCUGGGGUGUCGACUACCGCCAGGAGAAGAACGUGUACGUCGGCGGCGCGACCAUCUUCAAAAGAGACCAAGCUGGGCAGAUUGUUGAGACUCAGCCUAUCAGAGGGAAGAUUCGGUUUCCUCACGCACCCUUCCGUUUUGGACUCCCCUUAGGGAUGGAUUUUCUCAGCGGUUCGGAGUCGGACCCUAGUGAGGGGCCAGGCUACGAGUCAGGCGAGGGGAGCGAGCCUUCAGUGACUUCCGAGUACCGGAAUCCGACAGAGGGACUUUUGGUGCCGAAGGAGGAGCCGGUGAGCCCCAUUGCACCACCCGAGCAAGAGCUGAAUCAGGGACUCAUGGAUCCCGUACCAUUAGGGUUUGGGUGGAGCUUGGAGGCAUUGAGGCAGUGGAACCUGGACAUGAAAGUUGAGCUUCCGAAGCCAGGAGAGGAGACGCCGGAGCCUUCCAACAUGUGGGCCAGAGAAGAUGCAGACUGCAACGAGUGGCCUUGAUUGGGUUGAGAGCGCUGUUUUAUUUUUGGAGCUUUUAUUUUACUUUGAAGUACUUGUAGUUGAUUUUCAAAUGUAAACAAUUUUGUCAGAUUACUAGGGUGGUUUUGUUUACACACAUGGGUGUGGCCACCGUACAUUAUUUCAGUUAUUGGAUUUAUAUCAAUCGUUCGUUUUCCUUA